UACAGAGGGGGCAAGCGUUGUUCGGAAUUACUGGGCGUAAAGCGCGCGUAGGCGGACCUGCAAGUCGGGGGUGAAAGCCCGAGGCUCAACCUCGGAACUGCCUUCGAUACUGCGGGUCUCGAGUCCGGGAGAGGUGAGUGGAACUCCGAGUGUAGAGGUGAAAUUCGUAGAUAUUCGGAAGAACACCAGUGGCGAAGGCGGCUCACUGGCCCGGUACUGACGCUGAUGUGCGAAAGCGUGGGGAGCAAACAGG
rnacentral:rRNA from 1 species